rnacentral:rRNA from 1 species
UCUUUAUGGAGAGUUUGAUCCUGGCUCAGGACGAACGCUGGCGGCGUGCCUAAUACAUGCAAGUCGAGCGGAUGAAGGAGAGCUUGCUCUCCGGAUUCAGCGGCGGACGGGUGAGUAACACGUGGGCAACCUGCCUGUAAGAUCGGGAUAACUCCGGGAAACCGGGGCUAAUACCGGAUGGUUCCUUCCUCCGCAUGGAGGAAGGCGGAAAGACGGUUUCGGCUGUCACUUA